UUUAUUAGAAAGAUAGACUUUUGUCAUUAUAUAACAAGGUAUUCUAUGGUAAAAAUAAUAAAUGAAUAGAGGAAAACAACAAGGAAUAGUAGAAAAAAAUUUAUAUAAAGCUAUAUAACUAUCACCCCCACCCUCUUCUCUCUCUCUCUCUCUCUCUUUUUUCUCUUUUCAGUUAUCUGUAGAAGAAACUUGAUCACUCACUAAAAAAAAACUUUAUUUUUUUCACAAUCAACCCAUCGGUAUUGCUGCCACUAGGCCUCCACCUCCAAUGGCCCGAGCAACCAUUCCCCACUGGUCUUGACAUGGAAGGUCUCAAAGAUUUCACGUUCGCUGGACUUGGAGCUGAUGAGCAAAGCUCGGGGCCUGCAGGUUAACCUAUGGGUAAGCCCUGUGAAUAGUCACCCCAGAAUGGGUUAACCUGUGCUCCUGCAAAUCUCAUGGGCUCACGUGAGGGAUCCACACCAAUUAUAACGAGAGCCCUCAAGCUCGCCGUAGGCUGAAGCGGCUCUCUCAUCAGUUUCCUGCUCCCUAGUUUUGGACAUUUAUGUCAUCAAUAAGCUAUACAUCUUGUGAAUCCUGCAGCUAAUCAUUCUCAGAUGAUUGAUGGGACAGUUCCUUUUUCGGUGGGAUUGUCCAAGGCCACCACCACUACAUCUUUGAUUGAGCGAUCAAUUUGGCCAAAUAUUUUGAGCUAAUCCAAUUUCUUCAAUCAUUGUAAUGCAAAUCUCUUGUGAUAUAUCAUACCAUAUAGUCGGCAGGCAUUAUUUCUGUUUUUAGUAAGUUAGAAGGACCGGCCCUCGACUUUUUGGAUUCA